rnacentral:rRNA from 1 species
GAUGAACGCUGGCGGCGUGCCUAAUACAUGCAAGUCGAGCGAACAGACGAGGAGCUUGCUCCUCUGACGUUAGCGGUGGACGGGUGAGUAACACGUGGAUAACCUACCUAUAAGACUGGGAUAACUUCGGGAAACCGGAGCUAAUACCGGAUAACAUGUUGAACCGCAUGGUUCAACAGUGAAAGACGGUCUUGCUGUCACUUAUAGAUGGAUCCGCGCCGCAUUAGCUAGUUGGUAAGGUAACGGCUUACCAGGGCAACGAUGCGUAGCCGACCUGAGAGGGUGAUCGGCCACACUGGAACUGAGACACGGUCCAGACUCCUACGGGAGGCAGCAGUAGGGAAUCUUCCGCAAUGGGCGAAAGCCUGACGGAGCAACGCCGCGUGAGUGAAGAAGGUCUUCGGAUCGUAAAACUCUGUUAUUAGGGAAGAACAAAUGUGUAAGUAACUAUGCACGUCUUGACGGUACCUAAUCAGAAAGCCACGGCUAACUACGUG